rnacentral:rRNA from 1 species
AUACGGAGGGUGCGAGCGUUAAUCGGAAUUACUGGGCGUAAAGCGUACGUAGGCGGUUGGUUAAGUUAGAUGUGAAAGCCCCGGGCUUAACCUGGGAACUGCAUUUAAAACUGACGAACUAGAGUUGAGUAGAGGGGAGUGGAAUUUCAGGUGUAGCGGUGAAAUGCGUAGAGAUCUGAAGGAACACCAGUGGCGAAGGCGACUCCCUGGACUCGAACCGACGCUGAGGUACGAAAGCGUGGGUAGCGAACAGGAUUAGAAACCCCAGUAGUCC